rnacentral:rRNA from 1 species
UGGCGAACGGGUGAGUAACACGUGGGUGAUCUGCCAUGCACUCUGGGAUAAGCCUGGGAAACUGGGUCUAAUACCGGAUAGGACCAUGCUUUAGUGUGUGUGGUGGAAAGUUUUUUCGGUGUAGGAUGAGCCCGCGGCCUAUCAGCUUGUUGGUGGGGUAAUGGCCUACCAAGGCGGCGACGGGUAGCCGGACUGAGAGGUUGGUCGGCCACAUUGGGACUGAGAUACGGCCCAG